rnacentral:rRNA from 1 species
ACGGGGUGCAGCAGGCGCGAAACCUCCGCAAUGCACGCAAGUGCGACGGGGGGACCCCAAGUGCCACUCUUAACGGGGUGGCUUUUCAGGAGUGUAAAAAGCUCCUGGAAUAAGGGCUGGGCAAGACCGGUGCCAGCCGCCGCGGUAACACCGGCAGCUCGAGUGGUAGCCGCGUUUAUUGGGCCUAAAGCGUCCGUAGCCGGUCCGAUAAGUCUCUGGUGAAAGCCCACAGCUCAACUGUGGGAAUCGCUGGAGAUACUAUCGGACUUGAGGCCGGGAGAGGCUGGAGGUACUCCCAGGGUAGGGGUGAAAUCCUAUAAUCCUGGGAGGACCACCUGUGGCGAAGGCGUCCAGCUGGAACGGACCUGACGGUGAGGGACGAAAGCCAGGGGCGCGAACCGGAUUAGAUACCCGGGUAGUCCUGGCCGUAAACGAUGCGGACUUGGUGUUGGGACGGCUUUGAGCUGUCCCAGUGCCGAAGGGAAGCUGUUAAGUCCGCCGCCUGGGAAGUACGGCCGCAAGGCUGAAACUUAAAGGAAUUGGCGGGGGAG